GACUUUUAAGGAGGAGAAAGAGCCAGCUGCAGAAAGCCAACAAGAGGGGUGUUUAAUGCAAAGAAAAUCAUAAACCAACCCCUAGCUGGAAAUGAUCCUAACCUGUGGAAGCUCCUGAAUUGAGUGAGGGACCGGCCGGCAGGAGAGGCUGCAGUGCAGUGGUGCAAUGUCAGCUAAAUACAACCUCCACCUCCUAGAUUCAAGCAAUUCUCCUGCCUCAGCCUCCCAAGUAGCUGGGAACACAGCAUAACACAGCUCAUCCUGACUGAUGCUACCAUUUCCAGAUAAGAGAAAUGAGACUGAGAAAGAUUAAGAUAUUUUCUUAAGAUUGGACAUUGUGUUCCUACCCAUUGUGCUUGCCUUAUAGGAGAAGGCAUGAUUACCAAAGUUAUUGAUCUAAUUCUCAUUGAUUUACAGAAAUAACAGUGGCUAAUGAUCAGCUAUACAUUGUUGAAUUAUAGGAUGUAUGGCAUUUAAAAAUGUAUUUAUUUAAAACUAAUUUUUUUUAGAUUUUUGAUGGAUUUAGGGGUACAGGCGCAGUUGUGUUACAUGGAUAUAUUUUGUAGAAAUGAAAUCUGGGCUUUUAUGUACAACUACCCAAAUAAGAUACAUUGUACCUGAUAGGCAGCAUUUCACUUUCACCCUCAUUCUAUCCUCCCACUG
rnacentral:antisense_RNA from 1 species